AGCAACUUUUCCUUUUACCGUCAAAACUUCGCUCCCGUACUUACAUAACAGUGUGAGCGAGGAGACUUUCACUUACUCAUGGCGAAAAAAAAUGUUGCUUUAUCUUAUGUCUGUGUUGCUACCCUUCAGUUUGUUUGCAUUUGUGUGUUUAAUUGUGUGACUUUUGUUUAUAUUUGCUAGUUUCUUUCUUUUCUUUUCCUAUGUAAUAAAAACUGAAUCUCCCAUAAAA